rnacentral:rRNA from 1 species
UACAGAGGGUGCUAGCGUUGUUCGGAAUCAUUGGGCGUAAAGGGCGUGUAGGCGGUUUGUUAAGUCAUGUGUGAAAUCCCUGGGCUCAACCCAGGAACUGCGUCCGAUACUGGUUGGCUUGAAUCCGGGAGAGGGACGUGGAAUUCCAGGUGUAGCGGUGAAAUGCGUAGAUAUCUGGAGGAACACCGGUGGCGAAGGCGACGUCCUGGACCGGUAUUGACGCUGAGGCGCGAAAGCGUGGGGAGCAAACAGG